CAUGCAGAGAACUUUCCAGAGAUGGAUUGGUGCCUUCGGGAACUCUGACACAGGUGCUGCAUGGCUGUCGUCAGCUCGUGUCGUGAGAUGUUGGGUUAAGUCCGUAACGAGCGCAACCCUUGUCCUUAGUUACCAGCACGUUAUGGUGGGCACUCUAAGGAGACUGCCGGUGACAAACCGGAGGAAGGCGGGGAUGACGUCAAGUCAUCAUGGCCCUUACGGCCUGGGCUACACACGUGCUACAAUGGUCGGUACAAAGGGUUGCCAAGCCGCGAGGUGGAGCUAAUCCCAUAAAAACCGAUCGUAGUCCGGAUCGCAGUCUGCAACUCGACUGCGUGAAGUCGGAAUCGCUAGUAAUCGUGAAUCAGAAUGUCACGGUGAAUACGUUCCCGGGCCUU
rnacentral:rRNA from 1 species